GCGUGACUACGUCAAUCUGCUUCUGGCUGACCUCUCUGCCUUCUUACUCAAGAGAACAGUUUUCCUCGCCCUCAACCUGCAGCAGCGUUGGUUAUAGGCCUCGCAUGAAGAAGAGCAUCGGCAUAAGAUCUGUGGUCCUGCAGACCCGCGUCUAUUUGUCAGGAGGCUUCCGGAAAGAUGGGGCUCACUGCGUGUCGUCUGCUUCCAUGGCUACUGCUCCUCGUCCUAGUUACAGUCCUUGCCAAGCCUGAAUCCAAGAAAGUGGACAAGUCCAGAUUCCCCAGAUACACUGGCCUGGCGCGUAGGAUGGUCGCGUUCGCCUCCAAGUCCUGCCACAAAGUUCACUUUGCAGCUGGUGAAAAUACGGGCGGUAAGAGAAACGCUGCGAAACGGCAGGCUCACCACCGUCAAAAUCAAGUUUGAUGCCAAGCGGUGCAAACGGGGAGGCAGGAGGAGACGUUUCGAAAGGUGUUCGCCCCCCAGGUUUAAUGCGUACUCUAUCUGCGUUGGCACCGCGAAGAUGAGGAAAGGAAGAAAGCCAAAAAUAUUAACUGUUGGCUGCAGGAAGAAGAAUAUGUCACCCAGAGCAAGCGAAUCAUACGAAGUUAUGGAAUCAAUAGGAUUAAAUGCAUUCUACGAGUAACAUGGUACAUCAAGGUCUUCUCCAGCCAAAACGCGGGAGCAUCUGUACAAUCACUUUCCAGCCUCACUUCUUGGGGAGCAAGGUCACGCAACCUUUGCACCAGAGUAGAAAUAAACAUUUUUGUUCGCCAUCGCUUCCUUUUCAAUUGCUC